rnacentral:tRNA from 1 species
GGGGCUGUGGUCUAGCUUGGUAAGAUUCACCCUUGGGGUGGGUGAGAUCGCGGGUUCAAAUCCUGCCAGCCCCA